rnacentral:rRNA from 1 species
AGAGUUUGAUCAUGGCUCAGAUUGAACGCUGGCGGCAUGCCUUACACAUGCAAGUCGAACGGCAGCACGGACUUCGGUCUGGUGGCGAGUGGCGAACGGGUGAGUAAUACAUCGGAACGUGCCUAGUAGUGGGAGAUAACUACUCGAAAGAGUGGCUAAUACCGCAUGAGAUCUAUGGAUGAAAGCAGGGGACCUUAGGGCCUUGUGCUACUGGAGCGGCCGAUGGCAGAUUAGGUAGUUGGUGGGAUAAAAGCUUACCAAGCCAACGAUCUGUAGCUGGUCUGAGAGGACGAUCAGCCACACUGGGACUGAGACACGGCCCAGACUCCUACGGGAGGCAGCAGUGGGGAAUUUUGGACAAUGGGCGCAAGCCUGAUCCAGCAAUGCCGCGUGCAGGAUGAAGGCCUUCGGGUUGUAAACUGCUUUUGUACGGAACGAAAAGGUGCUCUCUAAUACAGGGCAAUGACAGUACCGGGAGAAUAAGCUCCGGCUAACUACGUGCCAGCAGCCGCGGUAAUAC